rnacentral:rRNA from 1 species
GGCAGCUAUACAUGCAGUCGAGCGGACAGAUGGGAGCUUGCUCCCUGAUGUUAGCGGCGGACGGGUGAGUAACACGUGGGUAACCUGCCUGUAAGACUGGGAUAACUCCGGGAAACCGGGGCUAAUACCGGAUGGUUGUUUGAACCGCAUGGUUCAGACAUAAAAGGUGGCUUCGGCUACCACUUACAGAUGGACCCGCGGCGCAUUAGCUAGUUGGUGAGGUAACGGCUCACCAAGGCGACGAUGCGUAGCCGACCUGAGAGGGUGAUCGGCCACACUGGGACUGAGACACGGCCCAGACUCCUACGGGAGGCAGCAGUAGGGAAUCUUCCGCAAUGGACGAAAGUCUGACGGAGCAACGCCGCGUGAGUGAUGAAGGUUUUCGGAUCGUAAAGCUCUGUUGUUAGGGAAGAACAAGUGCCGUUCAAAUAGGGCGGCACCUUGACGGUACCUAACCAGAAAGCCACGGCUAACUACGUGCCAGCAGCCGCGGUAAUACGUAGGUGGCAAGCGUUGUCCGGAAUUAUUGGGCGUAAAGGGCUCGCAGGCGGUUUCUUAAGUCUGAUGUGAAAGCCCCCGGCUCAACCGGGGAGGGUCAUUGGAAACUGGGGAACUUGAGUGCAGAAGAGGAGAGUGGAAUUCCACGUGUAGCGGUGAAAUGCGUAGAGAUGUGGAGGAACACCAGUGGCGAAGGCGACUCUCUGGUCUGUAACUGACGCUGAGGAGCGAAAGCGUGGGGAGCGAACAGGAUUAGAUACCCUGGUAGUCCACGCCGUAAACGAUGAGUGCUAAGUGUUAGGGGGUUUCCGCCCCUUAGUGCUGCAGCUAACGCAUUAAGCACUCCGCCUGGGGAGUACGGUCGCAAGACUGAAACUCAAAGGAAUUGACGGGGGCCCGCACAAGCGGUGGAGCAUGUGG